CCACGUUUUGAGGUCCCAGGAAGCCAUUCUGACUAUUCUUGCCGAGAUGUCCGGCCGUGUGUGUGUGUGUGUGUGUGUGUAUUAAUAGAUGUUUGUCGU